CUUCGGAUUGAUACAGAAACUUAGUGGCGGACGGGUGAGUAACACGUGGGUAACCUGCCUUACAGAGGGGGAUAGCAGCUGGAAACGGCUGAUAAUACCGCAUAAGCACACAGUACCGCAUGGUACAGGGUGAAAAGAUUUAUCACUGUAAGAUGGACCCGCGUCUGAUUAGCCAGUUGGCAGGGUAACGGCCUACCAAAGCGACGAUCAGUAGCCGACCUGAGAGGGUGAACGGCCACAUUGGGACUGAGACACGGCCCAAACUCCUACGGGAGGCAGCAGUGGGGGAUAUUGCACAAUGGAGGAAACUCUGAUGCAGCGACGCCGCGUGAGUGAAGAAGUAUUUCGGUAUGUAAAGCUCUAUCAGCAGGGAAGAUAAUGACAGUACCUGACUAAGAAGCCCCGGCUAACUACGUGCCAGCAGCCGCGGUAAUACGUAGGGGGCAAGCGUUAUCCGGAUUUACUGGGUGUAAAGGGAGCGCAGACGGAAUGGCAAGUCUGAAGUGAAAUCCCGCGGCUUAACCGCGGAAUUGCUUUGGAAACUGUCAGUCUAGAGUACUGGAGGGGUAAGCGGAAUUCCUGGUGUAGCGGUGAAAUGCGUAGAUAUCAGGAAGAACACCAGAGGCGAAGGCGACUUACUGGACAGCAACUGACGUUGAGGCUCGAAAGCGUGGGUAGCAAACAGGAUUAGAUACCCUGGUAGUCCACGCAGUAAACGAUGAUA
rnacentral:rRNA from 1 species